AUUGAACGCUGGCGGCAUGCUUUACACAUGCAAGUCGAACGGCAGCGCGGGCCUUGCCCUUGCGUCGAGCGGCGAACGGGUGAGUAAUGCAUAGGAACGUGCCCAGUAGUGGGGGAUAGCGCGGCGAAAGCGGGACUAAUACCGCAUACGACCUGAGGGUGAAAGCGGGGGACCUAAGGACCUCGCGCUAUCGGAUGAGCCGAGGUCGGAUUAGCUAGUUGGUGGGGUAAAGGCCUACCAAGGCGACGAUCCGUAGCUGGUCUGAGAGGAUGACCAGCCACACUGGGACUGAGACACGGUCCAGACUCCUACGGGAGGCAGCAGUGGGGAAUUUUGGACAAUGGGGGCAACCCUGAUCCAGCCAUGCCGCGUGCGGGAAGAAGGCCUUCGGAUUGUAAAGCGCUUUUGUUUGGGAAGAAAGCCACUGGGCUAAUACCCCGGGGGGAUGACGGUACCGGAAGAAUAAGCACCGGCUAACUACGUG
rnacentral:rRNA from 1 species